rnacentral:rRNA from 1 species
AUUGAACGCUGGCGGCAGGCCUAACACAUGCAAGUCGAGCGAGCGGCGGACGGGUGAGUAAUGUAUGGGGAUCUUCCCGAUAGAGGGGGAUAAAUACUGGAAACGGUGGCUAAUACCGCCUACUAUCGCAUGAACCCAUAUGGGAUUAGCUAGUGGGUGGGGUAACGGCUCACCUAGGCGACGAUCUCUAGCUGGGCUGAGAGGAUGAUCAGCCACAAUGGAACUGAGACACGGCCCAGACUCCUACGGGAGGCAGCAGUGGGGAAUAUUGCACAAUGGGCGCAAGCCUGAGGCAGCCAUGCCGCGUGUAUGAAGAAGGCCUUAGGGUUGUAAAGUACGUUCAGCGGGGAGGCGUUACCCGCAGAAGAAGCACCGGCUAACUCCGUGCCAGCAGCCGCGGUAAUUC